UACGUAGGGGGCAAGCGUUGUCCGGAAUCAUUGGGCGUAAAGCGCGUGUAGGCGGUUCGGUAAGUCCGCUGUGAAAGUCGGGGGCUCAACCCUCGGAUGCCGGUGGAUACUGUCGAGCUUGAGUACGGAAGAGGCGAGUGGAAUUCCUGGUGUAGCGGUGAAAUGCGCAGAUAUCAGGAGGAACACCGGUGGCGAAGGCGGGUCUCUGGGCAGUAACUGACGCUGAGGAGCGAAAGCGUGGGAGCGAACAGG
rnacentral:rRNA from 1 species